rnacentral:rRNA from 1 species
GAGUCAACAUAGCAAUAUGUGGCAUACGGCUCAGUAACACGUAGUCAACAUGCCCAGGGGACGUGGAUAACCUCGGGAAACCGAGGAUAAACCGCGAUAGGUCAUCACUUCUGGAAUGGGUAAUGACUUAAAUCUAUAUGGCCCCUGGAUUGGACUGCGGCCGAUCAGGCUGUUGGUGAGGUAAUGGCCCACCAAACCUGUAACCGGUACGGGCUCUGAGAGGAGGAGCCCGGAGAUGGGCACUGAGACAAGGGCCCAGGCCCUAUGGGGCGCAGCAGGCGCGAAACCUCUGCAAUAGGCGAAAGCUUGACAGGGUUACUCUGAGUGAUUUCCGUUAAGGAGAUCUUUUGGCACCUCUAAAAAUGGUGCAGAAUAAGGGGUGGGCAAGUCUGGUGUCAGCCGCCGCGGUAAUACCAGCACCCCGAGUGGUCGGGACGUUUAUUGGGCCUAAAGCAUCCGUAGCCGGUUCUACAAGUCUUCCGUUAAAUCCACCUGCUUAACAGAUGGGCUGCGGAAGAUACUAUAGAGCUAGGAGGCGGGAGAGGCAAGCGGUACUCGAUGGGUAGGGGUAAAAUCCGUUGAUCCAUUGAAGACCACCAGUGGCGAAGGCGGCUUGCCAGAACGCGCUCGACGGUGAGGGAUGAAAGCUGGGGGAGCAAACCGGAUUAGAUACCCGGGUAGUCCCAGCUGUAACCGAUGCACACUCGGUGAUGAGUUGGCUUAUUGCUAACUCAGUGCCGCAGGGAAGCCGUUAAGUUUGCCGCCUGGGGAGUACGGUCGCAAGACUGAA